AUUCCUUCUGCAAAGGACUGCCUGGCAGGUGUGAAAGGCAGCGGUGGCCACAGAGGCGGUGGAGAUGGCCUUCAGCGGUUCCCAGGCUCCCUAUCUGAGCCCAUUCAAGAGACUAUCAUUUGAGGCCAGGAGUGGUGGCUCAUGCCUGUAAUCCCAGGACUUUGGGAGGCUGAGGAUUACAGGAACUGGCCUUAGGAGAUCCAAAAUAUCCAACCAAGGUUGCAAGUAUCCCACCUCAGGAAGGAAUGCUAAACAACUGAUUCAUACAGCCUUGCUGCCACUAACCAGAGCACCAGAUGGCCCAUUACUCAAGACAACCAUUGCCAGCAGAUAAGCUGACCCAUGUCCCCUCCCCCUCACGUUCUCUACCCUGCCCAGCCCGCAUUCCCUACCUUGACAUCAAUUUCCGCACAUUGCCUAAUAAAAGAAAUCCCUAUCAGCUCAUUUCAGGGAGUCAGCCAGAGAAUCCUCCCUCUCCUGUGCUUCCUCCCUUGUGCCUGGGCAUAUGCUCCAAUAAAGCCUUGCUAGGAAAACUCUUUUGGCCUGGUGAGAAUUUCUAUUGCAUCAAGAGCCUAAGAACCCAUGAUCGG
rnacentral:lncRNA from 1 species